rnacentral:rRNA from 1 species
AACGCGAAGAACCUUACCAAGGCUUGACAUAUGCAGGAAUAUGGCAGAGAUGUCAUAGCCGCAAGGUCUGUAUACAGGUGGUGCAUGGUUGUCGUCAGCUCGUGUCGUGAGAUGUUGGGUUAAGUCCCGCAACGAGCGCAACCCUCGUUCUGUGUUGCCAGCAUUUAGUUGGGGACUCACAGGAGACUGCCGGGGUUAACUCGGAGGAAGGUGGGGAUGACGUCAAAUCAUCAUGCCCCUUAUGUCUUGGGCUGCACGCAUGCUACAAUGGCUGGUACAAACGGCUGCGAUACCGCAAGGUGGAGCGAAUCCGAUAAAGCCAGUCUCAGUUCGGAUUGGGGUCUGCAACUCGACCCCAUGAAGUCGGAGUUGCUAGUAAUCGUAGAUCAGCAACGCUACGGUGAAUACGUUCCCGGGUC